GCAGAUGCUCCAUAAGUGCUGUACCUGCUCAACGAUCAAGAGAAGACAUGCCACCUGGUGAACAGGCAUCAGGACUCCUGCUUGCUGUGACCCACAAAAGGGCUCGCCAAGACAGCAGAUGGAUCUACGCUUAAGGAGCUGGCUCUGGAAAUCCAUCUGCAGCUGCGUGAGCAGCCUGACCCCUUGACUCGGCCUAUGGAUGGGGAUCAUGAGAGCCGCGCUCUUGCCACAGGGUCUCUCCCUUAACCCAGAUCUCAUGGAACCAUUAACCGUCGGGCUUGCCAACUGGCUCUGAGCAUUCCGUUUCUACCUCUCCAGUGGUGCUGGGAUUACAAGCAUGCCACCAUGCCCAUCUGGCUUUUGUGUGAGUACUUGAGAUCUGAACCCUGGUCUCCUGCUGUAUGGCAAGCACUGAGACCAUCUCUGCAGCCCCAAAUGUGAGCUUCUUUGAAAACAACAACAAUAGAUGUUUGCAGAUGUAAGGAUGUUGGAAGUGAACUCAUCCUAUGUGCAAUAGCAAGUAUUGCCGAGAGCACGGAUAUUAGAGAUAGAAGAGGUCUCAGAGAAAUGGAGGAAGCUACUGGACAUGCAGGUAGAUGUGGCCAUACAUCAAGGAACAAUGACAGCUGCCAGAAGCAAGAGCAAACAUUUGGCCCCUAGAGGCCUCCAGAGUGAGUGUUAAUCUGUUGGCUCGCUGAUUUCUGAUUGCUG